AUGUUAUCAGGUGAGAUCUACACGGAGGAGAAACCACCAGCCACCGUGAAGGAAAGGGUCCCAGCCUGGACCAGCACGAAGGUGCCCGCCAGCUACCCCUCUCUCUCUCUGGUUUCUGCUGGGCCUCCUGAUGGCCAGCCCCACGCAACCCUGAGGGAAGAGAGCCCUCCUGGAGUAGUCCUCACGGGCAGCAGCCAGGGCCAGACAGCAGGUGCAGAAGGGCAGAGAGUGAAUUUGAGGAUCAAGUGGAAGAUCCCAGGCCUAAGAGUACACCUGCCCUACAGAAUCUUGGCAACGAUGGACGGAGAUGAUAUACGGGACACACUAGAAAUAGUGUCUAGUGCUCAAAAAUUAUUACCUGUUGUUAUUUUAACACAUGCAUUUAUUUAUCCAAUAAAUGUUCAUUGGGAACUUCGUGGCUCUAGCCACCGUGUGAACAUGAACGGUGCUCCAGGGAGGCUCGCCACCCAGCUGCGCUCCUAAGAGGUAAACAUGGAGCGGACCUCGCAGGAGAAGCCCUAGUUGUAUCUAAGGUUGGGGUUCAGAUGUGUCUGGAGAAGUCCGGCAAGCUGGUGUGGGAGAGAGCUUUGGCCUCUCUUUUUAAGUGACUCUUAGGGUCUUGUUGGGCAGCGGCAUGCUCCGACGGGAGAAGCAGAGGCCCACGAAGGCUGUGCAGUGACCGAGCUCCAGCCGUCAGAAGGCCAGGCAGGGGGGUCCCUGGGUGGCACAGCGGUUUAGUGCCUGCCUUUGGCCCAGGGCGCGAUCCUGGAGACCCGGGAUCGAAUCCCACAUCGGGCUCCCGGUGCUGCUUCUCCCGCUGCCUGUGUCUCUGCCCCUCUCUCUCUCUCUCUGUGUGACUAUCACAAAAUAAAUAAAUAAAUAAAUAAAUAAAUAAAUAAAUAAAUAAAUAAAUAAAUAAUAAAAAGAAGGCCGGGGUGAGGGGGGCGCAGCACAGUGUCUGCCAAGUCAACUGAUCGCCUGGCCAGACUUCCAGAACUUUGGGCGGAGUCCUUGAUAAUGAAGUUAGGGAAGCUGCCAAGGAAAACGAACUAAGAUCUCACAGGUGCCGAAGGCCCAAGUGGACAGCGGAAGUAAAUAUCUAUCAUAUAUAUAUUUGUGCGCACAGAUGGAGCACGAAUAUGGCAAAAUGCAAACAGCUGUUAGAUCCAGGUGCAGGGCAUAAGGGCAUAAAUUCAAGUAUUUGAUCAGCAUUUCCGUGUCACUUUGUCAUAACAGGAAGUUGGAGGAGACUUCUCCUGCAUGUGUGGGGCCAAACCAAGGGGGAAAAAAUCAUAUUUAAAGAAUGGAAUUCCCUUGAAAUCUGUAGAUCCGACCACAACCUCAGGAGCCUCUCCGUGUGAGCACGGCGAUUUCCUAGUAACGUAAGUCAGAGGAGUCGUCGGUACGGAAACUUUAGAAAGAACAGUGAUAAAGAAAUAUUUUCAAUAGUUUACAGCAAAAAAAAAAAAAAAGUCACAAGGAUAUUCAGUGUAGGAAGUGGGUAUGUGUUCACAGGUUUUAUAAAAUGUGAGAUGCAACUUACAAAACCACCUGUGAGUUUAUGAAAACCGACCCGGCUGAACCCAGACUCGAACGGGCUGCGCUUCAUCUGACUGCCCUGCGCCUCCCGUGUCUCAGCUGUACCCUCUGGGUUCCCAAGGUAUUAAAGAAGUGUCACUAUUCACUGGACCACAAGUGAAGGGGAGCCGUGGGGCGCCGUCCACCAGCGCGUCACCUGGGCCCCGGCGGGCCUCCACGGGCAAGGCAUCACGAUGUGCCCAUUGUGUGGAGACGCUAAGCUGAGGGCCUGGGGUAGUUCGGUGGCCCGAGCCCACACUGGGGUCCAGAUGAAGGUGGGCCGCGGCCUGCAGCCGCCUGGGGAGGUCACGGGCACCUGUAGACUCCCGCGUGGGAUGGUACGGCAGGGAGAAGGUCGUGGCCAGCAGCUGGGCAAGGUGGACACUUCGCCACUGGGGUCUUUUCAGCGGCCUGGGCCUAAGACGGCUCCCCUAGGUGUCACCUACAUGGUUUGGUCGCAGGGACAGGGGCCCAGGGCUGGUCACCCCUGCUUGCCCUGCUGAGUGCCCGAAGCCAGCAGCCGGGAUGCUGUCACCGGCCCUGUCCCCGACACCGCGCAGGCUGGCAUCGCACCCUGGUGCCGGGAGCUCGGCUGGGCUCGCCCGCCCUGGCCCCAGGCCCCUUGCUUGUCCUUUCUGCGGCUGCUGCACAGUCACCCCUGGCUGUUCAGCUCUGGCCUCGGAGCCGCACCCCCCCAGCAGGCCCCCGCGGAGUACCUGCCUCAUCGGCCUCCCAGUUCCUACCCGUCGGGGAGCAGGCCGGGGAAUCGCUCGCCCCUCUGGCCAAAACGUUGUGCCUCUCCAUGCCCGUGCGCAUGUGCAUGUGUGUGCGUGUGCACACAGGACACAUGCAGAAGCACGGGAGCACGGACUGGGAGGCACACGGGUGAGCACGCUUUUCUCAGUCUUUUUGUCGUUGUCAGGUCGUCAGUCUAGCAGAUGAGGCUCACGCACGUCAGGAUGGAUGAUCCGCGUGCCUCAGUCUACCCGUCCGAACGUGAACUCCAUCCCCAAACGACCUUCCCUGGACGACCGCCCGGCCGCAAGUGUGGGCCCCGGGUGACAAGGUGCAGACACCAGAGCCACCCACCACGGUGGGCCUCGUGCUUUUCUUUAGCUUUGGUCGCUUGGCCAUGUCCUGUGCGUCCAGACACAGACUUCAUACAUCCAAGCUCUUUCUGCCAGAGGAGGUCUUGGCAACUGGGAGGGGUGUCUGGGGGGGGCGCGGGGGCUGUCUUGGUUCCAGCCUCCCCCUCCCUGGUGUGACCUAGUCUGUGACCAGACGAGCAGCCUCCGUGGCCAUCGCUGGCACCACCUGCGGCACUGGGCGGCCCGGAUGGGGGCCCCCACACCACUCCACUGCUCCCACACCGCCCGGCUUCUCGGUUUCCCUGUCCCUUCAGGACUUGUCCCUAUGUUGAGUUCAGGUAGACUGUGCGUUGAAUCCCGAGCAACUGCUACCUCUCGUCUGGCACUUUCUAUGUCAUAGACAGAGCUGCGGAGUUGCCACACCUGCCAGCCGUUGCCACCUCACAUUUAAAAACAUUCCUUUAGGGGUAUCCGGGGGCCCAGGGCGAGACCCCGGGGUCCCAGGAUCGAGUCCCAUGUUGGGCUCCCCGCACGGAGCCUGCUUCUCCCUCUGCCUGGGUCUCUGCCUCUCUCUGUGUGUCUCAGGAAUAAAUAACUAAAAUCUCUAAAAUAAAUAAAAAUAAUAAAAACAUUCCUUUAUACUUAAGGCAAACGAUAGUGAUUUUCCAUUUUUUGUAAUGAUAACAACGUUCACUUCUAAAAUAAUCUGAUUUAGAGAAACAGCAAAUAACUAUCACAGCAGGUGCUACUCAGAUGUGACUAAUCUCAGGAGAGAAGCAGGUAAAUGGGGGACAGGAGUCUAGCGCUCUGCUGGCCUACAGUGAGCCCGCAGUGAACACUUGAUGAUUAAAUGAGUAAAUAGGAAAAAAUACUACGCUUGUCAAGAGUUUUCCAUCUUCAUCAACUGCACAUGCCUCAGGAGCAAUGCUGUCCACGCUAUGAAAUUCUUCGAGAAUUUUCUUCAUCGACAUUAGACAUUUAAUCAGCUGUGUUGGGGUGUCCGGGGGUCAGGCAGUGAGCGUCUGCCUUCGGCUCAGGGCAUGACCCCGGGGUCCUGGGAUGGAGCCCCACGUCGGGCCCCCUGCUCAGCGGAGCAUCUGCUUCUCCCUCUCUCCAACACCCCCUUGUGCUCUCUCCCUCUAGCUUUCACUGUCUCUCUCAAAUAAAUAAAAUCUUUAAAAAUAAAAAUAAAAAUAAAUCACUGAAAACUAUCUACAAUGCGAUGUCUUUUAUAAGCAUGAAUAUUUGUUUACUGCUUAAUCCAGAUAAGUAACUUGCAUGAAAUGAAAGACGGGCAAAAUGUGUCUACAGUGAAAAGCAGAACAGUGGUUGAGCUUGGGGCGCGGUGGACCGGAAGGAGGCGUGAUGGGAACUUUCAGGGGUGAUGCAAAUGCUUCUCUCCCGACUGGAGUGUUGGAUUAAAAAAAUAAUAAUUUGUCAAAAUGCACCUAAUUGUUCAAUAAAAACCUAGUUAAAUUAUGUAAAUUUAAUUUCACUUACAAAAAAAAACAUUAAUAGAGCUAAAUUAAAAGAAAACAGAGCGGGGGGUUCCAACAGAAUUUUCUGUAGUAAUAGAGAAAUUCUUUGUGCCGUGCAGUGGGCUGGCCACCGACCCGGCCUCAUUUGACAACUGAGCACUUGAUAGGCGCCCACUGCAACUGAGCAACUAAAUGUUUCACACCACUUAAUUUUAAUUAGUUUAAAUGUAAGUUGAUCUGUAAACGUGUGGCUAGGGGCUGCCACACUAACAGCACGUUUUUGGUCUCCCUCCCAGUGACCCACUGGAAUCACCUAAACAGCUCUAAAAAUAGACCCAAGCCCAGCCCCCAUCCCACACCGGUUAGGUCAGGGCCUGAAGCUGCUGUGGUCCAGGCACUGACAUUUUUGAUUAGGGGAAGCUUACUCCAUUCUUUAGUGUUAUCUUUUUAAUACAAAAUAGACAAAUAAGAAAGGCCUUGUAGGCUAGGUAUCAAACUAAGCAGUGUUUCACUGGUAAACGCCAUAAAAGAUCUGGUUAUUUAUUCAAGACCACUGUCCCGGUCGUAAAUCUCCUGGAUAAAUUCACACGAAUUUUGUAGGAUUUCAUUUGUUUCCUUGGAUGGGUUUCAGUAUCAGCGGUUUCCCCUCUCCUGGGUCGUUUCAUCCUCACACAUGCUCGGAAAUGGCAGGACAGAAACUCAGCAUCACCAGUUGGCGAGUGAAGACCCAGGGAGGUGAAAUGAUCUGCGGGCGGUCACGUGAUUUGACGAGGGGCAAAUUAAAAGUCAGGCCUUCUAAUGGUUCGUACUGUGUUAUUUUUAUUCCACCGUGAGACAAACAACUAUUAAAGUGAAAUGAAUUAAUACAGUGUUAAGGCUGGAAAUUCUUUCCCUACUUGUGUUUACAUUCACAGUUCUAAAUAUGGAGAAUGG
rnacentral:lncRNA from 1 species